AACGCGAAGAACCUUACCGGGGCUUGACAUCCUGCGCAACUCUAGGAGACUAGAUUUCCGGGUAACCGGACGCAGAGACAGGUGCUGCAUGGCUGUCGUCAGCUCGUGCCGUGAGGUGUUGGGUUAAGUCCCGCAACGAGCGCAACCCUUGCCGUGUGUUGGUCGCAAGAUCUCUCACGCGGGACCGCCGGUGACAAGCCGGAGGAAGGUGGGGAUGAUGUCAAGUCAGCAUGGCCCUUACGUCCCGGGCUACACACGUGCUACAAUGGGAGGGACAACGAGUCGCGAACCCGCGAGGGCAAGCUAAUCUCACAAACCCUCUCUCAGUUCGGAUUGAAGGCUGCAACUCGCCUUCAUGAAGUCGGAAUCGCUAGUAACCGUAGAUCAGCUACGCUGCGGUGAAUACGUUCCCGGGCCUUGUA
rnacentral:rRNA from 1 species